rnacentral:lncRNA from 1 species
ACCCUCGGGGUCGGUCCCGUCCCGCCCGGGUUGGGUGGGGCUGCCGCGAGUCGGAAGAGGUGGGAUGCUGCUGCCUGGCGGUGCUGCAGUGGCGGAUCUUCAGGAGGAGGAUUUGUCCCCAGUGCCUUAUUUAGUUCACUUGGUGAGGUCAUGUUUUCCUGGAUGGUGUUGAUGCUAGUAGAUGUUCUUCAGUGUCUGGACAUUAAAAUCUUGGGCAUGCAGCACCAUAUGAGAAGUUUAAAAAAUAAAAUUUAAAGAGAGAAAAGUGGUGGGAUUGCUGAAUCAGACAGAGCCAAUAGAUGAUCAGUAAUGGUGGCCAAUCAUCAGCUAGAAAGAAAGUGCUUAGCAGGGCUUGAAAACACCAAAACUCUGAGACCACUGACCUUCAAAAACUUCAACAGCCCUGAGUGAAAAGUCCAAACACAUUUAUCUACCAUUCGAAGACGCUUUAUUGUCUGUCCUCUGCACAUCUCAGUAGUCUCUUUUUACCACACUGUCUAUAUACUGCAUGAGCCAUUUAUAUGAAACUAUCUGACACUCCAAGGCAUCUUGUACUAUAUAUUCAACUAUGUAUCCCUAGUACCUAGCACAGUCCUGGCAUAUAGUUUGCUACUAAACUUUUACAGAAUGAAGGAAUUAUCUUGUAUCCAGGUUCCAAGUUUUAAGGUGAUUCUUCAGUAAAAAAAAGUAUUACAGUUCACAAAUAAUCUACUUCCCUUUUUACAAAUGGGAUCAAUUUUAAUCUUAUCUCCUAAUAACAUUACUUUCAUUUACUCUGAUCUAAAUAUACUGUCCUAAGAGAGCAAUAAGAAAGAGAGUUGAAGCUGGAGUUUGAAGAAUUGUACAUGGUCCUGUGAUACCCUACCUUGUUUUAACCUGAGUGACUCUCUCCUAGCGGAGAGAGAGCCGGACAGACUCCAUUUUAGUUUCUUCACGUGCAGCCCCCUUUACCUUCCACCCUUAAUUGCAUAACUAGUGUAAACUGACUCAAAGCAGGUCCAGGAAUGCACUUAGUGAUAAGAUAUUGAGGCAAGCUGCACCAGCUGCUCCUGGGUACGCACUCGGUGAAUGUCACGCAAAACCCCUGCAUUUCUCUCUUUGUGAUAGUUUAAGCCCCUGCACCUGGAACUGUUUAUUUGUUUUGUAACUGCUAUUGUAACCAAUUAAUAUUUUAACUAUUUGCCAGCUCUGCUUCUGUAAAACUUGUUUCAGCUAAACUCCCCCCUCCCCUAUUUAGACCACGGUAUAAAAACAAAACCAGCCCCUUCCUCGGGGCCAAGAGAAUUUUGAGCAUUACAUGCCUCUCGGUUACCGGCUAAUAAAGGACUCCUUAAUUUGUCUCAAA